rnacentral:rRNA from 1 species
UCGAUUAGAGUUUGAUUAUGGCUCAGAGCGAACGCUGGCGGCAGGCUUAACACAUGCAAGUCGAGCGGGCGUAGCAAUACGUCAGCGGCAGACGGGUGAGUAACGCGUGGGAACGUACCUUUUGGUUCGGAACAACACAGGGAAACUUGUGCUAAUACCGGAUAAGCCCUUACGGGGAAAGAUUUAUCGCCGAAAGAUCGGCCCGCGUCUGAUUAGCUAGUUGGUGAGGUAAUGGCUCACCAAGGCGACGAUCAGUAGCUGGUCUGAGAGGAUGAUCAGCCACAUUGGGACUGAGACACGGCCCAAACUCCUACGGGAGGCAGCAGUGGGGAAUAUUGGACAAUGGGCGCAAGCCUGAUCCAGCCAUGCCGCGUGAGUGAUGAAGGCCCUAGGGUUGUAAAGCUCUUUUGUGCGGGAAGAUAAUGACGGUACCGCAAGAAUAAGCCCCGGCUAACUUCGUGCCAGCAGCCGCGGUAAUACGAAGGGGGCUAGCGUUGCUCGGAAUCACUGGGCGUAAAGGGUGCGUAGGCGGGUCUUUAAGUCAGGGGUGAAAUCCUGGAGCUCAACUCC